GACGAACGCUGGCGGCGUGCCUAAUACAUGCAAGUAGAACGCUGAAGGAGGAGCUUGCUUCUCUGGAUGAGUUGCGAACGGGUGAGUAACGCGUAGGUAACCUGCCUGGUAGCGGGGGAUAACUAUUGGAAACGAUAGCUAAUACCGCAUAAUAGUAGAUGUUGCAUGACAUUUGCUUAAAAGGUGCAAUUGCAUCACUACCAGAUGGACCUGCGUUGUAUUAGCUAGUUGGUGAGGUAACGGCUCACCAAGGCAACGAUACAUAGCCGACCUGAGAGGGUGAUCGGCCACACUGGGACUGAGACACGGCCCAGACUCCUACGGGAGGCAGCAGUAGGGAAUCUUCGGCAAUGGACGGAAGUCUGACCGAGCAACGCCGCGUGAGUGAAGAAGGGUUUCGGAUCGUAAAGCUCUGUUGUAAGAGAAGAACGAGUGUGAGAGUGGAAAGUUCACACUGUGACGGUAUCUGACCAGAAAGGGACGGCUAACUACGUG
rnacentral:rRNA from 1 species